rnacentral:tRNA from 1 species
AUUGGCGUAGCUUAAUUGGAUAGAGCCCCUCAGGUUCAAGGUUCGUGCGGCCGACACUGCAUUAUACCGCCGGGGAGGUGCGGGUUCGAGUCCCGUCGUCAAUC